rnacentral:lncRNA from 1 species
AGACGCUCUAAGGGAGUGAAGGGGUGGAGCUUAAGGGAAAGAGGCAGGACAUAGACCUCCACAAGAGAAGGGGAUAUAAGGAGGGCAGAACAUUGGAUACCGCAGAAAAGAAGGCCAAUCACUUAACGCAAUGGGCGGGUCAUUGACAGCCUCUCCCGCUCAGGAGGAGAGGCUUAAAGUAGAUAUGCAAGCCAUUGGAUACCACAAGAGAAGCGCCUCAAGGUAGGGAGCAGGCAUUGGCCAUCACAAGAGGCGGGGCUUCAGCGGGAACGUCGGCCAUUGGCUAUCGAAAGAAGAGCGAUACAACAUAAAACAGGGACGGGCGAUUGCCAGCUCGAGGAGGCGGGACUUAGAGGAAGGGGCAGGCUCCGGGGGAGCUCUUAGUAUAAACAGCCACAAAAUGCACAAAAUAGUUAUUUCUUCACUUAGUUAAAAACUUAACUGAGUACCUACUAUAUGCCAGGGCCCCAAAACGCCACACAGACCUAUUCAUUCAUUCAAGAAAAAUGUACUGAAUACCGUGGGGCCGAGUCACUUGAUUGUCCUGGGCUUCGCUCUCUGCACUUGGAAGAUGGGGCCCAUAAUGAUUGUGAGGACCCUGCUCUAGACUGAGCCCGGCAACAGGAAAUACAGGAAGUAUUAGAAGCUAUAACUCGGCCGGACGCGAUGGCUCACGGCUGUAACCCCGGCACUUUGAGAGGACGAAGCGGGCGGAUCACGAGGUCAGGAGUUUGAGACCAAGCCUGGCCAACAUGGUGAAACCCCGUCUCUACUAAAAAUACAAAAAUUAGCUGGGCGUGGUGGCACGCACCUAUACCAGCUACUCAGGAAGCUGAGGCAGGAGAAUCACUCGAACCCAGGAGCGGGGGGUUGCAGUAAGCCGAGAUCGCGCCACUGCACUCCAGACUGGGUGACAGAGCAGAAAAAAAAAAGCUAUAACUCUACCUUCCGGCAGGGCGUGGUGGCUCACGCCUGUAAUCCCAGCACUUUGGGAGGCCGAGGUGGGUGGAUCACGAGGUCAGGAGAUCGAGACCAUCCUGGCUAACAUAGUGAAACCCCGUCUCGACUAAAAAUACAAAAAAAAUAGCUAGGCGUGGUGGCAGGCGCCUGUAGUCCCAGCUACUAGGGAGGCUGAGGCAGGAGAAUGGCCUGACCCCGGGAGGCGGAGCUUGCAGUGAGCCGAGAUCGUGCCACUGCACUCCAGCCUGGGCGACAGCGCGAGACUCUGUCUCAAAAAAAAAACAAAAACAAAAAACAAAACUCUACCUUCCAGGAAUCAAGUAUAACAGGGCCAAGAAAUGUUAAGUUUUAAAAUUUGUUGAUGUUGCUGUGUUUUGUUUUGUUUUUUGUAAUUAGGAUCCAUGGUAAGAACUAAAAUGAACCAGGGUGCUUGAGGAAAAAAAGCUGAAUAAUGGAGACGACUUCUUCUCUCCUGGGGGAUCACAGAGGGUUACUGGAUGAAGUGAGUUUAACCAGACACUGGGAGAAUGAAUAGAAGUUGGACAUGAUAGUGAGGCGAGCCCUGGGAGGGCAUGAGGAGCAGAGGGAAGAGCAAAAACAAGCGUCUGAUCCUCACUUAAGGUCAGGAGUACGAGACCAGCCUGGCCAACAUGGUGAAAUCCCAUCUCUAGAAAAAAUACAAAAAUUAGCCGGGCGUGGUGGUGGGCGCCUAUACUCCUAGCUACUUGGGAGGCUGAGGCAGGAUAAUCACUUGAACCUGGGAGGCGGAGGGUGCAGUGAGCCGAGAUCACGCCGUUACACUACAACCUGGGUGACAGAGCGAGACUCCGUUGCAAAAAACAAACGAGACCGGGCGCGGUGGCUCACGCCUGUAAUCCCAACACUUUGAGAGGCCGAGGCGGGUAGAUCACUUGAAGUCAGGAGUUUGAGACCACCCUGGCCAACAUGGUGAAACCGCAUCUCUACUAAAAAUACAAAAAAUUAGCCAGGCGUGGUGGCAGGCGCCUGUAAUUCCAGCUACUCGGGAGGCUGAGGCACGAGAAUCACUUGAACCCGGGAAGCGGAGGUUGCAGUGAGCCAAGAUCAUGCCACUGCACUCCAGCCUGGGUGACAGAGCGAGACUUUGAUUCAAAAAAAAAAAGAAAAGAAAAGAAAAAGCAAACAAGCAAAAACAAGAACAACAACAGCAACAACAAAAAACCCAUCUGAUCCUAGGAUGACUGUGUACGGAGUCUUGCUCUGUUGCCAAGCUGGAUUGCAGUGGCGCAGUCUCGGCUCACUGCAACCUCUGCUUCCCAAGUUCAGGUGAUUCUCCUGCCUUAGCCUCCUGAGUAGCUGGGAUUACAGGCAUGAGCCACCGUGCCCGGCAUACUGAGAACUUUCUAAUCACAUGAUCACCCCUACAAUCUAUAGAGAGUGUUAUUCUUAUCCCCAUUUCAUAGAUAGGAGACUGGAGAUCAGAAAGAUUGAAGUUUGGGUUGCACUGUAUUCUUCUUUUAUUUAUUUAUUUUUUUACUUUAUUUAUUUAUUUUUGAGACAGAGUCUCGCUCUGUCGCCCAGGCUGGAGUGCAGUGGUGCAAUCUCAGCUCACUGCAACCUCUGUCUCCUGCGUUCAAGUGAUUCUGCUGCCUCAGCUUCUCAAGUAGCUGGGAUUACUGGCACACACCACCACACCCGGCUGAUUUUUGUAUUUUUAAUAGAGACGGGGUUUUGCUAUGUUGGCCAGGUCGGUCUUGAACUUCUGACCUUAAGUGAUCCACCCGCCUUGACCUCCCAAAGUGCUGGGAUUACAGGUGUGAGCCACCGCACCUGGCCCAAUUCUUUUCCUUUUUUUUUUUU